rnacentral:rRNA from 1 species
UACGGAGGGGACUAGCGUUGUUCGGAAUUACUGGGCGUAAAGCGCACGUAGGCGGCUUUGUAAGUCAGGGGUGAAAUCCCGAGGCUCAACCUCGGAACUGCCUUUGAUACUGCAAAUCUCGAGUCCGGAAGAGGUGAGUGGAAUUCCUAGUGUAGAGGUGAAAUUCGUAGAUAUUAGGAAGAACACCAGUGGCGAAGGCGGCUCACUGGUCCGGUACUGACGCUGAGGUGCGAAAGCGUGGGGAGCAAACAGG